rnacentral:rRNA from 1 species
AUUUUCUUCGGAAAAUUAUUAAACUGGCGAACGGGUGAGUAACACGUAGGUAACCUGCCUUGAAGAUUGGGAUAACUCCGGGAAACCGGAGCUAAUACCGAAUAAUGCAGCGAAUCCAUAGGGAUAUGUUGUUAAAGCGGGCUUCGGCUCGCACUUCGAGAUGGGCCUGCGGCCGAUUAGCUUGUUGGUGAGGUAAUGGCUCACCAAGGCGAUGAUCGGUAGCUGGUCUGAGAGGAUGAUCAGCCACACUGGGAUUGAGAUACGGCCCAGACUCCUACGGGAGGCAGCAGUGGGGAAUUUUGCGCAAUGGACGAAAGUCUGACGCAGCAACGCCGCGUGAUUGAUGAAGCUUUUAGGAGUGUAAAGAUCUGUCGUGAGGGAAGAAAAACCUGGAUGUAAAUAAUGUUCAGGCGUGACGGUACCUCACAAGAAAGCACCGGCUAACUUCGUGCCAGCAGCCGCGGUAAUACGAGGGGUGCUAGCGUUGUCCGGAAUUACUGGGCGUAAAGGGUCCGUAGGCGUCUUGACAAGUUGAUCGUUAAAUCCACCGGCUUAACCGGUGAUCUGCGGUCAAAACUUGCAGGAUAGAAUAUGUGAGAGGAAAGUAGAAUUCCUGGUGUAGCGGUGACAUGCGUAGAUAUCAGGAGGAACACCAAUGGCGAAGGCAGCUUUCUGGCACAAUAUUGACGCUGAGGGACGAAAGCGUGGGGAGCGAACAGGAUUAGAUACCCUGGUAGUCCACGCCGUAAACGAUGAGUACUUGGUGGUGGGAGAUUCGACCCUCUCACUAUCGGAGCUAACGCNUAA